AAAAGGCAGGGUAAACCCCACCGGGUGCAAGACCAAAUAGGGAAGCGUUUGAGGGCUGCCCGCCUGAAGCUUCCGGGCAGGUCGCAAGAGCUGCCGGGCGACCGGCAUCCCAGUCAAAUGAUCAUGGCCUGUACAAACAGGGACAGAAUUCGGCUUACAGCCCGCCCUUUUUU
rnacentral:RNase_P_RNA from 1 species